UACGUAGGGACCAAGCGUUGUUCGGAUUUACUGGGCGUAAAGGGCGCGUAGGCGGUCAGCACAAGUCAGUUGUGAAAUCUCCGGGCUUAACUCGGAAAGGUCAACUGAUACUGUGCGACUAGAGUGCAGAAGGGGCAACUGGAAUUCUCGGUGUAGCGGUGAAAUGCGUAGAUAUCGAGAGGAACACCUGCGGCGAAGGCGGGUUGCUGGGCUGACACUGACGCUGAUGCGCGAAAGCCAGGGAGUGAACGGG
rnacentral:rRNA from 1 species